GGACUACCGGGGUUUCUAAUCCUGUUUGCUACCCACGCUUUCGCGUCUCAGCGUCAAUGUCGGUCCAGUUGGCCGCCUUCGCCACGGGUAUUCUUCCCAAUCUCUACGAAUUUCACCUCUACACUGGGAAUUCUACCAACCUCUACCGAAUUCUAGUAAAACAGUUUUGAAUGCAAUUCCCGGGUUGAGCCCAGGGCUUUCACAUCCAACUUGUCAAACCGCCUACACGCCCUUUACGCCCAGUAAAUCCGAACAACGCUAGCUCCCUUCGUAUUACCGCGGCUGCUGGCAC
rnacentral:rRNA from 1 species